rnacentral:lncRNA from 10 species
AUGUGCAAUGGCUCACACCUGUUGAGGAGGAAGGAACAGCCAGGCGAGGUGACUCACACACCUGUAAAAGAGGAGGAGGAGGAAACAGCCAGGAGAGGUGGCUCACACGCCUGUAAAAGAGGAGGAGGAGGAGGAAACAGCCAGGCGUGGUGGCUCAUGGCUGUAAAAGACGAGGAGGAGGAGGAAACAGCCAGGCGGGUGACUCACACACCUGUAAAAGAGGAGGAGGAGGAAACAGCCAGGCGAGGUGGCUCACACGCCUGUAAAAGAGGAGAAGGAGGAGGAAACAGCCAGGUGACCUGGCUCAUGGCUGUAAAAGAGGAAGAGGAGGAAACAGCCAGGCGGGUGACUCACACACCUGUAAAAGAGGAGGAGGAGGAAACAGCCAGGCGUGAUGGCUCAUGGCUGUAAAAGAGGAGGAGGAGGAGGAAACAGCCAGGCGGGUGACUCACACACCUGUAAAAGAGGAGGAGGAGGAAACAGGCAGGCGAGGUGGCUCACACGCCUGUAAAAGAGGAGGAGGAGGAGGAAACAGCCAGGCGUGGUGGCUCAUGGCUGUAAAAGACGAGGAGGAGGAGGAAACAGCCAGGCAGGUUCUCUCACGCCUGUAAAAGAGGAGGAGGAGGAGGAAACAGCCAGUCGUGGUGGCUCAUGGCUGUAAAAGAGGAGGAGGAGGAGGAAACAGCCAGGCGGGUGGCUCACGCCUGUAAAAGAGGAGGAGGAGGAGGAAACAGCCAGGCGACCUGGCUCAUGCUUGUAGAGGCAGAGGAGAAGGAAACACCCAUGUGCAAUGGCUCACACCUGUUGAGGAGGAAGGAACAGCCAGGCGAGGUGACUCACACACCUGUAAAAGAGGAGGAGGAGGAAACAGGCAGGCGAGGUGGCUCACACGCCUGUAAAAGAGGAGGAGGAGGUGGAAACAGCCAGGCGACCUGGCUCAUGGGUGUAAAAGAGGAGGAGGAGGAAACAGCCAGGCGUGGUGGCUCAUGGCUGUAAAAGAGGAGGAGGAGGAGGAGGAAGAAACAGCCAGGCGGGUGGCUCACGCCUGUAAAAGAGGAGGAGGAGGAGGAAAUAGCCAGGCGUGGUGGCUCAUGGCUGUAAAAGAGGAGGAGGAGGAGGAAACAGCCAGGCGAGGUGGCUCACACGCCUGUAAAAGAGGAGGAGGAGGAGGAAACAGCCAGGCCUGGUGGCUCACGCCUGUAAAAGAGGAGAAGGAGGAGGAAACAGCCAGGCGGGUGGCCCUCGCCUGUAAUAGAGGAGGAGGAGGUGGAAACAGCCAGGCCACCUGGCUCAUGGCUGUAAAAGAGGAGGAGGAGGAAACAGCCAGGGGUGGUGGCUCAUGGCUGUAAAAGAGGAGGAGGAGGAGGAAACAGCCAGGCGGGUGGCUCACGCCUGUAAAAGAGGAGGAGGAGAAGGAAACAGCCAGUCGUGGUGGCUCAUGGCUGUAAAAGAGGAGGAGGAGGAAAACAGCCAGGCGGGUGGCUCACGCCUGUAAAAGAGGAGGAGGAGGAGGAAACAGCCAGGCGACCUGGCUCAUGCUUGUAGAGGCAGAGGAGAAGGAAACACCCAUGUGCAAUGGCUCACACCUGUUGAGGAGGAAGGAACAGCCAGGCGAGGUGACUCACACACCUGUAAAAGAGGAGGAGGAGGAAACAGCCAGGCGAGGUGGCUCACACGCCUGUAAAAGAGGAGGAGGAGGUGGAAACAGCCAGGCGACCUGGCUCAUGGCUGUAAAAGAGGAGGAGGAGGAAACAGCCAGGCGUGGUGGCUCAUGGCUGUAAAAGAGGAGGAGGAGGAGGAGGAAGGAACAGCCAGGCGGGUGGCUCACGGCUGUAAAAGAGGAGGAGGAGGAGGAAAUAGCCAGGCGUGGUGGCUCAUGGCUGUAAAAGAGGAGGAGGAGGAGGAAACAGCCAGGCGAAGUGGCUCACAUGCCUGUGAAAGAGGAGGAGAAGGAAACAGCCAGGCGGGUGGUUCACGCCUGUAAAAGAGGAGGAGGAGGAGGAAACAGCCAGGCGUGGUGGCUCACACGCCUGUAAAAGAGGAGGAGGAGGAGGAAACAU